GACGAACGCUGGCGGCGUGCUUAACACAUGCAAGUCGAACGGAAAGGCCCUGCUUUUGUGGGGUGCUCGAGUGGCGAACGGGUGAGUAACACGUGAGUAACCUGCCCUUGACUUUGGGAUAACUUCAGGAAACUGGGGCUAAUACCGGAUAGGAGCUCCUGCUGCAUGGUGGGGGUUGGAGAGUUUCGGGGGUUGGGGAUGGACUCGCGGCUUAUCAGCUUGUUGGUGGGGUAGUGGCUUACCAAGGCUUUGACGGGUAGCCGGCCGGAGGGGGUGACCGGCCACAUUGGGACUGAGAUACGGCCCGGACUCCUACGGGAGGCAGAAGUGGGGAAUAUUGCACAAUGGGCGGAGGCCUGAUGCAGCACCGCCGCGUGCGGGAUACCGGCCUUCGGGUUGUAAACCGCUUUCGCCAGUGAGGAAGCGUGAGUGACGGUAGUGGGUAAAGAAGCACCGGCUAACUACGUG
rnacentral:rRNA from 1 species